rfam:Cavia porcellus supercont2_227 genomic scaffold, whole genome shotgun sequence.
GGGGAUUUAGUUCAGCGGCAUAAGCGCCUGCCUUGAAAGCAGGCAAUCGUGGGUUCAAUCCCUG